rnacentral:Y_RNA from 1 species
GGCUGAUCUGAAGGUAGCGAGUUAUCUCAAUUGAUUGUUCAGUCAGAAAUAGAUCAAAUUCCUUGUUCUACUCUUUUCCUAUUCUCACUACUGCACUUGACUAGUCUUAG